CCUACGUGAGGCAGCAGUGAGGAAUAUUGGUCAAUGGGCGCGAGCCUGAACCAGCCAAGUAGCGUGAAGGAUGACUGCCCUACGGGUUGUAAACUUCUUUUAUAAAGGAAUAAAGUGAGGCACGUGUGCCUUUUUGUAUGUACUUUAUGAAUAAGGAUCGGCUAACUCCGUGCCAGCAGCAGCGGUAAUACGGAGGAUCCGAGCGUUAUCCGGAUUUAUUGGGUUUAAAGGGAGCGUAGAUGGGUUGUUAAGUCAGUUGUGAAAGUUUGCGGCUAAACCGUAAAAUUGCAAUUGAUACUGGCAGUCUUGAAUACAGUUGAGGUAGGCGGAAUUCGUGGUGUAGCGGUGAAAUGCUUAGAUAUCACGAAGAACUCCGAUUGCGAAGGCAGCUUACUAAACUGCCACUGACAUUGAUGCUCGAAAGUGUGGGUAUCAAACAGGAUUAGAUACCCGGGUAGUC
rnacentral:rRNA from 1 species